CAGAGGUUAGUUUAAAUAUAAAAAUAUUAGUUUUGGAGACUAAUGAUGAAUAAAAUUAUUUACCUUUGA
rnacentral:tRNA from 1 species